UACGGGGAACAGAAACACCUGAUCUUCUUGU
rnacentral:piRNA from 1 species